UGUUGAGCGACUGACCAGUUGAGAGCGUCAACUGAUGCUCGCAGUUUGAUUAUUCAUGUUUCAAACAGAUUGCAGCGGCUUUGCAUAAGAAGAGCUAACGGGCACCUGAUCCAAAACUUCAGGGUUAAACCACCAUUCAUUAACGGUUUAAACCAUUCCGGUAAGAAGGCGUCUAACGACCUCAUCGCACCAUAACUUCAUUCCAGAGUGUUCCUUUAACCUUAUCAGCUAGUCCCCUAUUCCAUAUACCAACAUAUUACUUUUGAUAUUGUUUUGAAUAAAUGUAAUUAAACAAGAUUUCUAGGGAGGUUCUCUCUUUUUCCAUUGUUGAUCACAUAGUUACAAAGCUGAAAAGAGAAUUGUGUCCAUCAAUUUCAGCCUUCCUCACAUAAUCUUCUAUUCAUAUUAUAGUUUACUCCAUUGAAUAGCUCUUUUUCGAAGCUCCAUUGGCAUCUAUA